rnacentral:rRNA from 1 species
UCAGAUUUGAAAGGCACUUUUGUGCCGUUGUAUUCUGAAGUUAGGGUCCUGAGAAACGAUGCUUAAGUCUUCUGGAAAGGAGCGCCAUGGAGGGUGAUAGCCCCGUCUAGCAUUGACCUCAUAUAGGAUCUUAACAUGGAGUCGAGUUGUUUGGGAAUGCAGCUCAAAUGGGUGGUAUGCUCCAUCUAAAGCUAAAUAUCUGCGAGAGACCGAUAGUAAACAAGUACUGUGAGGGAAAGAUGAAAAGAACUUUGAAAAGAGAGUGAAAAAGUACGUGAAAUUGUUGAAAUGGAAGGGUAGGCCGCUAACCAUGUAGAGCCGUGUUUGGGGGGAAGAUAAAUGCUGUAGAAUGUAGCUCCUCGGAGUAUUAUAGAUGCAGUUCAUAUUCCCACCCGAGCGCGAGGAUCUCAGGUUCUACUAAAUGGUGGUCUACCACCCGUCU